rnacentral:rRNA from 1 species
GCUUAACACAUGCAAGUCGAGCGGUAGCACAGGGGAGCUUGCUCCCUGGGUGACGAGCGGCGGACGGGUGAGUAAUGUCUGGGAAACUGCCUGAUGGAGGGGGAUAACUACUGGAAACGGUAGCUAAUACCGCAUAACGUCGCAAGACCAAAGAGGGGGACCUUCGGGCCUCUUGCCAUCAGAUGUGCCCAGAUGGGAUUAGCUAGUAGGUGGGGUAAUGGCUCACCUAGGCGACGAUCCCUAGCUGGUCUGAGAGGAUGACCAGCCACACUGGAACUGAGACACGGUCCAGACUCCUACGGGAGGCAGCAGUGGGGAAUAUUGCACAAUGGGCGCAAGCCUGAUGCAGCCAUGCCGCGUGUGUGAAGAAGGCCUUCGGGUUGUAAAGCACUUUCAGCGAGGAGGAAGGUGGUGAGCUUAAUACGCUCAUCAAUUGACGUUACUCGCAGAAGAAGCACCGGCUAACUCCGUGCCAGCAGCCGCGGUAAUACGGAGGGUGCAAGCGUUAAUCGGAAUUACUGGGCGUAAAGCGCACGCAGGCGGUUUGUUAAGUCAGAUGUGAAAUCCCCGGGCUCAACCUGGGAACUGCAUUUGAAACUGGCAAGCUAGAGUCUCGUAGAGGGGGGUAGAAUUCCAGGUGUAGCGGUGAAAUGCGUAGAGAUCUGGAGGAAUACCGGUGGCGAAGGCGGCCCCCUGGACGAAGACUGACGCUCAGGUG